rnacentral:misc_RNA from 1 species
GAUGAAGAACGUAGCGAAAUGCGAUACGUAAUGUGAAUUGCAAAUUCAGUGAAUCAUCGAGUCUUUGAACGCACAUUGCGCCCCCUGGUAUUCCGGCGGGCAUGCCUGUUCGAGCGUCAUUUCAACCCUCAAGCCCCCGGGUUUGGUGUUGGGGAUCGGCUCUGCCCUUCUGGGCGGUGCCGCCCCCGAAAUACAUUGGCGGUCUCGCUGCAGCCUCCAUUGCGUAGUAGCUAACACCUCGCAACUGGAACGCGGCGCGGCCAUGCCGUAAAACCCCAACUUCUGAAUGUUGACCUCGGAUCAGGUAGGAAUACCCGCUGAACUUAAGCAUAUCAAUAAGCGGAGGA